UCACCACGCUGACUCCGCCCACCGGCGGGGCCGGUCUCUCGCCGCCGCCGCCGCCGCCUCCCGCGCUGGGGCGGGGCUUUGCGGGCAGAGGCUCGGCCCCGCCCCGCCCCCUCUGCCGUGAUUUCGACCUGGCCCCUGCAGCGCCGUGUCGCUCCGCGCCUCAGUGCCCGUCUCUCCGAGCGCUACCCCGGGCCCGGCCCCUUGCAAUGGGCUGGGGCGCCUGACGCUCCCCCGACUCCCCUCCGUGCCCCACAGACGUGCCCGCCCGUAGCCCUGGCCCUCGCCCGUCCCUCCGGCUAGGCCUGGCCCGCCUGCCCCCCGCUCCCCUGGGACUGCACCAGCGAGGGGCCGGGACUAGCUCUGUCCGCCGCCCUGCCCCCUUUCCCCCGCUCCUGCUCUGAGCCCCGGGCCCGGCCCGGGCGGGGCACACACCGGGCUGCUCCCUUCGGCUCCGCGGCGCCGGACGGGCAGGACCCCGCAGGCAUCCCUAGGCCGGGCUGGGGAGCUGGGUCGGGGCAGCUCCCGGCGGGUCGGAGCCCACCCGCAGCAAGGAUGAGAGGCCGCACGGGCACCUCAGGGCUACGGCGGUUCCAUGGUGUAAUGGUUAGCACUCUGGACUCUGAAUCCAGCGAUCCGAGUUCAAAUCUCGGUGGAACCUGUUCCUUUUGCCCUCCCCCGAGCUGCAGAGAGGGAAGGUUCCUCUCCAUCGCCCACAGCCUUUCCCGUGUUACCAAGCAUGGCACUCUGCACAACAGUCAACUGAAGAAAAUGGGCUCCAGAUGUGGGAGUCUCCUGUGAGAAGUCGGUGACUUGGUAGAACUGUCACAUCAACAAGGACAGGGAAGCAGAAAUUAAAUCUGGAUUUUCAGUGGUGAAGAAAACCACAGAUCUGCUUUCUGCACCUUGCAAGCAAGAAACUCAUCUCAUUCUGGGAAUGAUUCUGGUGGUAGUUCUGGUGCUGUCCAUAUGUGAUGCACAGCUCACCCUGAAAAGGAAUACAUUCAGGAAUCAAAAAUGGUCCAGCGCAUAUGUUUGCUGUCAUACUUAACAAAUACCUCAGGCCCUGCCAUGAUUCAGUACAUUAUGUGUGGGAGCCAUCUGGUCCUGUAUCUUUAGAAGCAAACUGGAACACCGUGGAUGCCUCAUUGGUAAAAGCACAAACAGUUGAAGUGAGGGAGACGAAAAAGAUCUGUUGACAUUCUACACAAGAUUCUCCCUCUAGGGGACUGGUUUCAUGACCCAUUUCAUCCUUCCUGCUACUAUAGAGAGUUACAGUCAGGCAGACUGUGAUGUCAGGUCUGUCAGUGUGAACACCUUUGGGAUGCUAAAAAUGGGUUUCAUGUGCUUGGGCAAACCCAGUGAGAUAAGAGUUUUCUCAUUAAUCAGCUGUGUCGUAGCAAGCUGUGCAAGAUGUUCGUGUAGAGUGUAUUCCAUAAAACAUUGUUUGAUCUAGAAUUCUGAUUUGUCCUAAACUGCACUAUUAAUCUACCUGCAUGAUUAGUCAUUAGUAUCUGCUCAGCACCAUGCAGGACCAGGCCCCAUGGUUUUGACAGACUGAAAAAAAGGUCACACCUAGUUUAUUUAGAUGGUCCCUGCUCUAGAGGAUCCAGGAAUGCAGAAGAGUCCUAGGCUGCAAUAGGAGAUGGAUUAUCAGAAGAUGAAGCAGUGAAUGCACUCCAAAUAGAGGAUGGUAGGCUCUGGUACUGCUAACAUUUGGUGAAGGUUUUGUGUGUAUCUAGGACUAGAUCCUGAGCUGCUGUAAAUUGGCAUAGCUUGAUCAUGGAGUUACGCCACUUUACAGCAGCUCAGUAGCUGGUUUCUAAUGUCCACAAAGCAUAAGAGAAGCAGGCAAACAGAAUGAGCCUAUGUUUGGGAGUCUGCACAGUGAAAGCACGCACCUGAGGCAGGUGCAAGUUUGUUUCCCCAGACACCAAAUUAUUAGAACAGAGAAGCAAGUGAUGGGGUUUGUUGUUCCAUGAUAGCAGUUCUAAUGAAAACUCAUUUCAGAGUUUGGCCUGUUUCCAAGAUGGUUAGAUACAAUACUCGGAUUAAUCCAGACCAGCUUUCCUGGUGCCAUGUCCCUUAAGACACAUGUUUAUUUAUUCUAUUACGAAUAAAUAUGAAAAAGUCAAUUUGCUGUGAAAGCAAAGAAGUAAUAAAGAAUGUUAUGCUUAUGCAAAUAAUAUAACACUUCCAACUUAAUAUAGUUCAGCUUCAUGCCCGACAUGCUCCACACCAGACCAGUAUGAGCAAGAUGUGAGUCACUGAUAAAAGAAUAAAUGUUUUUAUUUAUUAUUCACCAGUCUCCAGGGUUUAAAGCCAUUUAAAGUUAGCGCAUUUUCCCAUAUACAUUAUUUAAAACGUAAUAGUUCAACAUAGGUACAGCUAAAGCAGACAAUAUACACUGCAAAAGUAUUUACUAUGUUGUAUUUCCUUAGAACUUCUUACAAUGUCCCUGUCCCACAUAAACUCCUGGCUCUAGACAUAAGAGGAUGCUUUGUAUUUAAGGAUGGAGUGGCAGGCAUUAAGUUUCUUGCUUUGAUCAGUGUGUCUCAGCCUUUAUGAUCUCACUAGCAAUGGCACUUGAUAGAAUUCAGUUUGAGUGUUAGUAUGUAGCAUUGCUAUGUCUGUUUUCCAAACUAAGUUCCUGGUUUUCUGAAAAUAUUUGAAGAUAUCUUUCUAUUUAAUUUAUUUUCAAACAAAAUGGCAUCCACCAUAGGUUAAGAACACAACACACUAAGAACUCUGCAAGACUCCAAAAUAUAAUGCUGUGGACUUUCAUGGCCAAAUUCUGCUCUCAUUUAUACAUGUACAAAUCUCCUUUUACCUCACUAGUAUAACAGCAGAAUCUAGCUCUCUGAGUUUUGACAUGCAUUUCCAUUUCACUAGUGUCAGGUCCAAAGUGUCUACCAUAUAUGGAUAAAUACAAUUUCAACAUAACUGUCGCAAUUUCCUUGGGAAAGUUACGAUCUCAAAGGAAGUAUAUGAAAAAGUAAGUGUUUACAGUACAUGAACCCCAGUCCUGUAACAAGUAUGUGACAGUUGCUGUUGAUUAAUAGUUACACAUGCAAACAAAAAUAUAGGAUCAAAUUUUCAGUUUAGCUGCUCCACUGACUGCCAGAGUGUUGUUCAUUAACACCAGCAGAGAAUUUGGCCCAUAUGUUUAAGUUUAUUUUUAAAAUUUGUAUGUUCUGCAGUUGUUCCCUGAUCUUUUAGAGAGAAACAGUGUUUGCACUGAAUAGCUCAAUCCAGCUGUAAGUGAAAAAUAGAUGUAGUAUGCAUUCCUGGGGUGUCUGUGUUGUGCAGGGGAGGUCUAGCUCUGUCAGGCUCACUAUGAAUUGAUUGACAUUUGUACGUAUUUAACUAUCUUUUCCUUAGCUGUGAGUGCUACAUAGUUGUAGCUGGAAGGGUUUACCUUAGCAGGGAUAUUAGGUUGCAAGUAGAUAGGUCUCGGUGGGCCCUGAUUCAGGAAAGCACAUAAGGAUGUGGUUUCCUAAGCAGAGUUACAGUUGUUAUUCUGUAAAUGGAGCAUUUAUUAUUGGUCUUAAAAAAAAUACAGGCAUGUUAAUUUCAGCAGCAAGGGAAAACACUGAAUUUAAAAAACAUCAGUGUUUGCAAAAUGGAAAAUGACAAAAUCUGCAGAAAAAAUCUCCCCACACCUCCCCUUUUUCCCCUUCCCCAGCCUUCAAAUGGGUAUUGUAGACAAUGGAGAGAAAAAAUACAACAUUAAAAACAGCUAACAACUUACAUGGCAGUGACUGUUUAGAAAAGACUUUGCAUAUUAUUUUUAAGUUACAGUUUUGCACAUACACUGUUCAACAGCUGCUAGUAUUAAAGUCCAAGCAAGGGGUAUCAGGAAUGCAGGAUCUGAAGGGUUUCAGCAGUUGCUAAAGGCAAAGCCUCCUGAAAUUGUAGCAGAUGUUGCUUACUUCCUGUAUACUUGUCAACCACUGUAAAAAUGUUUCUGCUUUGUAGUUGUUAUGUUGAGCAUAACUAUGGAGAUUCAACACAGUCUAUGCGACACUGACACAUUGAGUGAUUUACUGUAUAUUUGUUUUUGAAUAAUCAACCAAAGUAUUGUUCUUACUAGAAUCUCUCUGGACACUUUGAGGAAGUUCAUUAGUCACUGGAUUUGAAAUCAAUGACAAGCAAAUGACAAUACAGGAAAUAAGUCAAAUAUUAUGUUACUACUAUAUUCAGUAAAGAUGGAUUUAAAUAUUACAGACUUAUUGUUGCUUACUGCACCUACAAUGGAAUCCUUUUAACUGAAGACUUGAUAAGUAAGUAAUAUGCCCAUUUCAUUCGGACAAUUGCCAGAGCAGAGUCAGUGUAAUGCAACUUCAUGAUACUAAACAAUUGG